UAUGUAAUAUGGUCCACGUCU
rnacentral:miRNA from 7 species